CGUAGGUGGUUUGGUCAGUCAGAUGUGAAAGCCCCGGGCUCAACCUGGGAACUGCACCUGAUACUGCCAAACUAGAGUACGGUAGAGGGUAGUGGAAUUUCCGGUGUAGCGGUGAAAUGCGUAGAGAUCGGAAGGAACACCAGUGGCGAAGGCGACUACCUGGACCGAUACUGACACUGAGGUGCGAAAGCGUGGGUAGCAAACA
rnacentral:rRNA from 1 species